rnacentral:rRNA from 1 species
GCCUUAGUGGCGCACGGGUGCGUAACGCGUGGGAAUCUGCCCCUUGGUUCGGAAUAACAGUUGGAAACGACUGCUAAUACCGGAUGAUGACGUAAGUCCAAAGAUUUAUCGCCGAGGGAUGAGCCCGCGUAGGAUUAGCUAGUUGGUGUGGUAAAGGCGCACCAAGGCGACGAUCCUUAGCUGGUCUGAGAGGAUGAUCAGCCACACUGGGACUGAGACACGGCCCAGACUCCUACGGGAGGCAGCAGUGGGGAAUAUUGGACAAUGGGCGAAAGCCUGAUCCAGCAAUGCCGCGUGAGUGAUGAAGGCCUUAGGGUUGUAAAGCUCUUUUACCCGGGAUGAUAAUGACAGUACCGGGAGAAUAAGCUCCGGCUAACUCCGUGCCAGCAGCCGCGGUAAUACGGAGGGAGCUAGCGUUAUUCGGAAUUACUGGGCGUAAAGCGCACGUAGGCGGCUUUGUAAGUUAGAGGUGAAAGCCUGGAGCUCAACUCCAGAAUUGCCUUUAAGACUGCAUCGCUUGAAUCCAGGAGAGGUGAGUGGAAUUCCGAGUGUAGAGGUGAAAUUCGUAGAUAUUCGGA